rnacentral:rRNA from 1 species
AUGGCCGCCGCCGCACCGCCGCACGCCGCGGCGCUCCUGGCCGCCCUCGCCCUGCUCGCGCUCGCGCCCCCGGCGGUGGCCGAGAUCCGGUCGAUGGCGAUCCGGGCCGACCCGCGCACUAUGAUCCCGUGCGGUGCGGGAGAUCGGCACGGCGACAGAGAAACCUCGGCGACCAGACGACGGCGCAGGUUGACUCCGGUCCGGCCUGGAAGGAGAGAAUGGGCAAGUCAUGGGCGUUCGUCACCCACCUCCACUCCGUCGUCGGGUAUGUAUCCAUCCUAUCUACUCGCAAAUCUCAUGGUGUUCCACUCUUUUCUGCGGGCGAGAUGUCGAGUGUUGUCUGCUAUCCUCUGCCUCUUCGUUUCCUUGCGCAGGCCAAGCAUCACGCUGUUGUACCCUCUGUAUGUGUCGGUGUGCGCCAUGGAGAGCCCGUCCAAGGUGGACGACGAGUAG